CCUACGGGAGGCAGCAGUGAGGAAUAUUGGACAAUGGGCGCAAGCCUGAUCCAGCCAUGCCGCGUGCAGGAUGACGGUCCUAUGGAUUGUAAACUGCUUUUAUACAGGAAGAAACCACCCUACGUGUAGAGUCUUGACGGUACUGUAAGAAUAAGGAUCGGCUAACUCCGUGCCAGCAGCCGCGGUAAUACGGAGGAUCCAAGCGUUAUCCGGAAUCAUUGGGUUUAAAGGGUCCGUAGGCGGUUUAGUAAGUCAGUGGUGAAAGCCCAUCGCUCAACGGUGGAACGGCCAUUGAUACUGCUAGACUUGAAUUAUUAGGAAGUAACUAGAAUAUGUAGUGUAGCGGUGAAAUGCUUAGAGAUUACAUGGAAUACCAAUUGCGAAGGCAGGUUACUACUAAUUGAUUGACGCUGAUGGACGAAAGCGUGGGUAGCGAACAGGAUUAGAUACCCUGGUAGUCCACGCCGUAAACGAUGGAUACUAGCUGUUGGGGGCAACUUCAGUGGCUAAGCGAAAGUGAUAAGUAUCCCACCUGGGGAGUACGAACGCAAGUUUGAAACUCAAAUGAGUAGACGNGNGAGAGAGACGACGGACGACGACGAGGGAGGAGG
rnacentral:rRNA from 1 species